UAUUACGGCCAUACAACCAUGGGUACUCCCGAUCUCAUCUGACCUCUUAAAGUUAAGCAAGGUUGGGCUUAGUUAGUUCUUGAAUGGGAGAACAUUUUGGGAAAAAACAAAAAGUGUUGCUGAAG
ensembl:rRNA 5S_rRNA 5S ribosomal RNA